GUUAAAGUUAUUCCCAUUUCACAAAGACAACCUGACUAGAUUUUCUUCCUCUCUUCAAGUCUGGACCGAGUUUCUUACCCCUUUUCAAUAUCUGCCCAAGACAUAUAUCCCAAAGGAUGAGCUACCUAAGAUUUUCAUUUUGUGUUAUAGUUUGGAGAAGUCAUUCAUAGAUAUACAUACUGUAGUAAAAAAAUUGGAAAUAAGGUAAUUAGGUAUUGCUAAAUGAAAAAGAUUGCAAAAGUAAACUUGCAAACCUUUAAGGCUUCAUGCAUGAGUGACAUGGCAUGACCAGGAGUUUGGAACAUGGGGCAUUUAGAUGAAAUUCUUAUGCUGGCAGUUGAGAACACUCAGGGAGCUGGAAGAAAGUUGGAUUUGGUUACUGACCUAGUCUAGACUGCUUUUGGAUUUGCUCAGAGGUUUCUCUGAGCUGAAUAGAUUUGAACCUAGUUUUGUUCUCACUGUCAAUUCUUCGGAGAGAACAUCACUGAUUGCUAGGAAAGACCUCUUAGUGACAGCAAAGUCCUUGAGCUAGUUUUGAGGACUUUGAGAAUCUUUCCUGGGUCAUCUCUGGUCUGGAAGGGUUCCUGACUACCUUCAAUGGUUUUCUGGUUCCUUACUACUGAUAUCAUCAACCAUGAAGGGGAAUACUUCAAGGAAGAAGGAAUUCAACAGAGGCAGAAGGAGAAGCGAAUAUUUAUCAAAUCUCUGAGCCCUUCUCAAAAGAUCUAUGGGCUGGAUAUUCUACAGAUGUUGGAUUCCUAAAAUCUGCAGCACCAGUUAGAGAAUCUCAACAUCUUAGAAGCUAAUAUCAACAUUGGAAUUCACAGCUCAUAAUUACCCUUAGCUCCUAGUACCCUGCCCUACUUCUAGCUAAAGAGAGAAGAAUGUGGAGAGUAGAGAGCUUAUCUAAGAUUCUCCAUUUAAAGAGGAGGCCUUAGACUUCUCUUCAUUUCCAACAUGACUGAAUUAUUCUGGACUUCAUCAUGUUUCUGAAUUAGAUGCUUUCUAAUAGUCUUUUCAGCUUUUUUUUUACUAUAUUGUGAGCUCCUCAAGGGCAAGAAAAUCUUUUGCCAUCCUUUGUGCUCAGUACAGUGCCAAAUAAAUAGUAAAUAUUAAAUAAAUGUUUACUGAUU
rnacentral:lncRNA from 1 species